CCUACGGGGAGCUGCAGUGAGGAAUAUUGGUCAAUGGGCGAGAGCCUGAACCAGCCAAGUCGCGUGAAGGAUGACGGCCCUACGGGUUGUCAACUUCUUUUGUCAGGGAGCAAUUGGGUCCACGCGUGGGCUUAGCGAGAGUACCUGAAGAAAAAGCAUCGGCUAACUCCGUGCCAGCGGCCGCGGUAAUACGGAGGAUGCGAGCGUUAUCCGGAUUUCUUGGGUUAAAAGGGUGCGUAGGCGGAAUAUCAAGUCAUCGGUAAAAAUUCGGGGCUCAACCCCGUCGUGCCGUUGAAACUGAUGUUCUUGAGUGGGCGAGAAGUAUGCGGAAUGCGUGGUGUAGCGGUGAAAUGCAUAGAUAUCACGCAGAACUCCGAUUGCGAAGGCAGCAUACCGGCGCCCAACUGACGCUGAAGCACGAAAGCGUGGGUAUCGAACAGGAUUAGAUACCCGAGUAGCC
rnacentral:rRNA from 1 species